UACACAUGCAGUCGAACGGCAGCACAGUAAGAGCUUGCUCUUAUGGGUGGCGAGUGGCGGACGGGUGAGGAAUACAUCGGAAUCUACCUUUUCGUGGGGGAUAACGUAGGGAAACUUACGCUAAUACCGCAUACGACCUUCGGGUGAAAGCAGGGGACCUUCGGGCCUUGCGCGGAUAGAUGAGCCGAUGUCGGAUUAGCUAGUUGGCGGGGUAAAGGCCCACCAAGGCGACGAUCCGUAGCUGGUCUGAGAGGAUGAUCAGCCACACUGGAACUGAGACACGGUCCAGACUCCUACGGGAGGCAGCAGUGGGGAAUAUUGGACAAUGGGCGCAAGCCUGAUCCAGCCAUACCGCGUGGGUGAAGAAGGCCUUCGGGUUGUAAAGCCCUUUUGUUGGGAAAGAAAAGCAGUCGAUUAAUACUCGGUUGUUCUGACGGUACCCAAAGAAUAAGCACCGGCUAACUUCGUGCCAGCAGCCGCGGUAAUACGAAGGGUGCAAGCGUUACUCGGAAUUACUGGGCGUAAAGCGUGCGUAGGUGGUUGUUUAAGUCUGUUGUGAAAGCCCUGGGCUCAACCUGGGAAUUGCAGUGGAUACUGGGCGACUAGAGUGUGGUAGAGGGUAGUGGAAUUCCCGGUGUAGCAGUGAAAUGCGUAGAGAUCGGGAGGAACAUCCAUGGCGAAGGCAGCUACCUGGACCAACACUGACACUGAGGCACGAAAGCGUGGGGAGCAAACAGGAUUAGAUACCCUGGUAGUCCACGCCCUAAACGAUGCGAACUGGAUGUUGGGUGCAAUUUGGCACGCAGUAUCGAAGCUAACGCGUUAAGUUCGCCGCCUGGGGAGUACGGUCGCAAGACUGAAACUCAAAGGAAUUGACGGGGGCCCGCACAAGCGGUGGAGUAUGUGGUUUAAUUCGAUGCAACGCGAAGAACCUUACCUGGUCUUGACAUGUCGAGAACUUUCCAGAGAUGGAUUGGUGCCUUCGGGAACUCGAACACAGGUGCUGCAUGGCUGUCGUCAGCUCUUGUCCUGAGAUGUUGGGUUAAGUCCCGCAACGAGCGCAACCCUUGUCCUUAGUUGCCAGCACGUAAUGGGGGGAACUCUAAGGAAACCCCCGGU
rnacentral:rRNA from 1 species